GACGAACGCUGGCGGCGUGCUUAAUACAUGCAAGUCGAACGGAAAGGCCCUGCGUUUGUGGGGUGCUCGAGUGGCGAACGGGUGAGUAACACGUGAGUAACCUGCCCCUGACUUUGUGAUAACUUCAGGAAACUGGGGCUAUUACCCGAUAUGAUCUCCUGCUGCAUGGUGGGGGUUGGAAAGUGUCGGCGGUUGGGGAUGGUCUCGCGGCUUAUCAGCUUGUUGGUGGGGUAGUGGCUUACCAAGGCUUUGACGGGUAGCCGGCCUGAGAGGGUGACCGGCCACAUUGGGACUGAGAUACGGCCCAGACUCCUACGGGAGGCAGCAGUGGGGAAUAUUGCACAAUGGGCGGAAGCCUGAUGCAGCAACGCCGCGUGCGGGAUGACGGCCUUCGGGUUGUAAACCGCUUUCGCCUGUGACGAAGCGUGAGUGACGGUAAUGGGUAAAGAAGCACCGGCUAACUACGUG
rnacentral:rRNA from 1 species